rnacentral:rRNA from 1 species
GACGAACGCUGGCGGCGUGCUUAACACAUGCAAGUCGAACGGGAGUAUUGAAGAAGCUUGCUUUAGAGAUACUUUAGUGGCGGACGGGUGAGUAACGCGUGAGGAGCUGUCCUAUGCAGGGGGACAACAGUUGGAAACGACUGCUAAUACCCCAUAAACCGAGAGGUAAAAGGAGCGAUCCGGCAGAGGAGGUACUCGCGUCCUAUCAGCUAGUAGGUGAGGUAACGGCUCACCUAGGCGAAGACGGGUAGCCGGCCUGAGAGGGCGAACGGCCACACUGGAACUGGGAUACGGUCCAGACUCCUACGGGAGGCAGCAGUGGGGAAUAUUGGGCAAUGGGCGGAAGCCUGACCCAGCGACGCCGCGUGGGGGAAGAAGUCUUUCGGGAUGUAAACCCUUGUUGUACGGGACGAAGGAAGUGACGGUACCGUACGAGGAAGCCCCGGCAAACUACGUGCCAGCAGCCGCGGUAA